GUGGAUUAGAUACCCUAGUAGUCCACGCCGUAAACGAUGUCAACUAGCCGUUGGAAUCCUUGAGAUUUUAGUGGCGCAGCUAACGCAUUAAGUUGACCGCCUGGGGAGUACGGCCGCAAGGUUAAAACUCAAAUGAAUUGACGGGGGCCCGCACAAGCGGUGGAGCAUGUGGUUUAAUUCGAAGCAACGCGAAGAACCUUACCUGGCCUUGACAUGCUGAGAACUUUCCAGAGAUGGAUUGGUGCCUUCGGGAACUCAGACACAGGUGCUGCACGGUUGUCGCCAACU
rnacentral:rRNA from 1 species